UACGAAGGGGGCUAGCGUUGCUCGGAAUCACUGGGCGUAAAGCGCACGUAGGCGGAUUGUUAAGUCAGGGGUGAAAUCCUGGAGCUCAACUCCAGAGCUGCCUUUGAUACUGGCGAUCUUGAGUCCGGGAGAGGUGAGUGGAACUGCGAGUGUAGAGGUGAAAUUCGUAGAUAUUCGCAAGAACACCAGUGGCGAAGGCGGCUCACUGGCCCGGUACUGACGCUGAGGUGCGAAAGCGUGGGGAGCAAACAGA
rnacentral:rRNA from 1 species